GCACCAAGACCUGGGCACGAACAUAAUCACCAGGUGUGCUGGGACCAAGUCUCACACAUAUGAUGAAUCAUGGUACAUAAACGAAUGUCACAACUUUACCAUAUAAAAGGAGUUUUGUACAAAAUAAAUAAAUAAUUACAUCGAACGGAGACAACGAUCUAGCAACCCAAAGUUGAUUGGGAGACGACGACCUAGACAUCUCACGAACACAUUGCAGCAUCCUCCAUGCGCCUCAUCCCGUGGUACCUGUUCUUGACCUGUGGGGGGUGUGAGACAGCAAGGGCGAGCUCACAUAUGUUCAUCGCUCAACAAGUUGUGGGGAAUAAUGUGCAUGAACUCACCAAAGGUAGGAGUUCAUGUGAUGUGUAAGGCUGAUCAAUGAUAGGGGUUGAAGCUGAGCAUUGCUUUUAAUAAGUUGGUCAAAUUUUAUUAGCAGUUACUAAAUGUAAGUAAAUACCAAACCAUAAUGAUAAUAGAACAAAAUUAAUAAUAAAUCCAUGCAAUGCAAAUGACAAAUUGAAUUUAGUUCCAUAAUUUAAUCAUGCGAGUGUCCUGAGAUGCUCAUGACCGCAAGCACGACUAUUAUACCAGUUUUACACUCUGCAAAGGUUGUACCCUGUACCCACAAGUCGUGUAUCACAUGUCGCUAGGGUUUGCAAGGCCCUUAGACACUUCCGAGGUGAAUGGCUAUGGAUCCACUACGAGGCCUUUAUAAAGUUCCACUAGCCUCAGAAAACCCGCUAUAGUUUGUAGGAAGAGCAAUGCAGGAAUCCCCCGUCUGACAGCCAUCGCAGCAAAAUCAACCUGGGAACCUCCCUACACGCCUACUCCCCUACUGCCCUUGCCCCUAUUGGGUAAGGUAGUCCUCCACUAGCUUUCCUAGUUAGUCAGCCAAGGGCGUCCCAUUCCACCCUUGUGGUGCACGUGUUUCUCAAGUUAAGCUCCACGUUCUAAUUAAAAAUAAUGAUCUUGACAUGAACAUAAAUAAAAUAACAUAAUAAUUGGAACAUGGACAUAAUGUAAUAUUAAUCCCAAAACCAUAUAGAGCAAUAGCAACACUACCCAAAUGAUUCAGGGGUAAACAAUGUAAAAGGAUAACCAGUCUAGGGUGACCUAUUGGGUCCCAUCACAAUUAAACCUAUGCAGGAAUAAAUGAUUAUAAAGAACAUUAUUGGGUAAAUAAAAGUGGUCAAGGGCGCAACUUGCCUGGGACUUGAGAUUCCAGGUACCAACUUGCUCUUCAAGUGACUCGUAUCCUCACUGCUAAACGUAGCCAUACAAACAAACAUGGUAUAGACAAAAUUAACAUCACACCAAACAUAAGAACAAAUUGCGUAAGAAUGAUCUACACAUUGCUACGAGAUCGUGGGUUCGAGAUUUACUAAAUUCGGAGUUACGGUUACCGAGUUAUGAUUUACGAGAGAUCUAUUGGUUUGAAUAUUAAAUUAUAUUAUAAAUUGGUUAGUACAUAGUAUAUGAGAAAAUAUAUUCUGAUUAACUAAUCCAACUUUAAUCUAGAUUAUAACUUGAUUAGGGGUUACCUUUUACUCAGAUUAUAUUUAUAGAGAGAUUAACCUAGAUUAGUAGAGUUAAUCUGGUAGACAAAGAAUAAAUAAAUAUCUAAUUUUAAGAGUAUGCGACAUGGUAUAAUUUAUGUUGUUAAUGUGUAGUAAAUAUUUAUACAAAACUAACGCAAUUUGAAUGGAUCGAAUCGGAGUUAAAACGAAUUAGUUACGAUUUUCCAAAGUUUUAAGUGGUAGAUACGAAACCAAUCAAGCGCAUAAAUUUAACCAUAUGUUUCAUACUAAAAUAGGGUAAAUAGAUGAUAAACAAUAUUUUCAUGAAUUUAUUGCAACUAAAAUGGAUCAAAAAGGAGUUAUAAUGAAUUAAAUAUGAAUUAUACAAGUUUUUGUUUUACUGAUCUCAGGACUGCGCGCACUAAUACAGAAUAACUCGGGGGCAAGAGCGCAAAAGUGUCUACGACUCAGCUACCUCCGUGCUAGACGAUGUGUUUAUUCUUAAUAAAGCUAGAGGCUCAUUUGCGAAAUGGGCGGGCCAAAGGAGUAUCCUUCGAUCCAGGGCGCUCGAUCUAAAACCAAGAGUCACGAUUAGAUCUCUACCACAAUGUACCGGUAUACAAUACUCACCCCAUGAUCUGAAAUGGACGGCUCAGAUUUUAUGAUGCCUAAUCUCACGCGAGCCACACGAUCAAGAUCCGAGGGCCAAGAUCUCAAUGUCCAAAUCAGUAUUCACAGGAUCAGAUCCCAUCCAUUGAUCCCCGAUCAGACGGUCACGAUUUUAUUAUCUUGUGAUCAACACGAAGCCAUCCAAUUAGGGAUCUACGGUCACGAUUGAAUCAUCGAAAGGGUAGGUGACGAUCAGAUCGCCACGGCACCCUACGAUCCAACGGUCGAGGUGCAUCUUCCACCACACAUCGGUGUCGGGACGCCAGAGUACGAGUUCCCUCCCCCGGCGGCGCCCCGCCGGCGCGAUUGCCCGGCACAAUCAAUGCCCCACUGCAUGAUUAAAUGGAUGCUACACUGAAAGGGAAUGGAGGCUAAUCAGACAAACGCGAACUCACAUGUGAUUGAGACGCAGCUAGAGCAAAUACAGCCUGCGGAUCCGAAGCAGAGACGGAGCGCCGAUGAGAAAUCCUUGAUUAUCCAGCCACAAUACUUCCCCCAUGAGAACAUAAUCAUCUCCCAAGGGACUUAGAGAAGUUCCCCGGCCAACCCAGAGGACCCGACGUCACAACAUCGAUGCUUUCCCCCGCGGCGGCGGUCUCCGGCCUGGUGAUGGACGAUGGGAAUGCACGCGUCGGAUAGAGGGGAAAAGGAUGGGGUUCGACCGGAUUGGAUGAGGAGCAUGGCCUACCUAUGGUUGGAUUAUAUAUGCCGAAGCCAAGAAUCCCUAGUUCAGCCAGAUUUAGUGAGCAGCGGAGGUUACGGACCUAUGGCCGUGAAUCCCGCAGGAGCCGGUGCGAUUCGGUGAAGAUGAUGGAGUUGUCGCGUGGGGCCCGCCCGUAGUAUCAGCGAUGGCUCAAACACGUGACGGUGUGGAUGGCUGGGACGUGGACCCCCAAAGUCAGCGACCGAGUAUGUAAAGUGCGGUGGAAAGAAAAAAAAUCGAUGAGACUAGCCAGUGGGUCCAUAGAUUGGUGGGGGCUGGCAAAGGUGGGCCGAUCAGAAGGCAAUUGGGCCGAGAAGCUUAGGUUUCAGGAGAGGUGCGCAGGUAACCUUUUCUUUUUAUUUUCUAAUUCCUUUCUUUUCUUUUUAUUUCGUUUCUAUUCUCAAAUUUUGAAUUCUAAAGUAGAUUUAGACAAGGUUUGAAUUUCAAACAUAAUUCAAUGCUCAGUCAAAGAUCCAGAAUGCCAGGCAAAGUUUAUUUUAUUUAUUUAUUGAUUAAUUAUUCGCCUAAAUAAAUGUUUCUAUAUGCAUAAUUCCUAAGAGAAUAAUUCACACAUUAUUUAUUUUGUUUAGGAGAAAUAAAAUCUUAUCCAUGAUUUGAUUCAAAUAUUGUUAAGGAUUGCUUUAAUUAUAAAGUCAUAAUAAAUAGACUGAAAGUGUUUCUUUUAAGUUU
rnacentral:lncRNA from 1 species